AUUGAACGCUAGCGGCAGGCCUAACACAUGCAAGUCGAACGGAGCGGCGGACGGGUGAGUAAUGCAUAGGAAUGUGCCUGGUAGCGGGGGAUAACGACCCGAAAGGGGAGCUAAUACCGCAUACUAUCAGAUGAGCCUAGGUCGGAUUAGCUAGUUGGUGGGGUAAAGGCCUACCAAGGCGACGAUCCGUAACUGGUCUGAGAGGAUGAUCAGUCAAACUGGAAUUGGGACACGGCCCGAAUUCCUACGGGAGGCAGCAUGGGGGAUUUUGGGACAUUGGGCGAAAGCCUGUCCCAGCCACGCCGGUGGUCUGAAGAGGGUCUUGGGUUGGUAAAGCCCGUUAAGCUGGACGACGUUACCAACAUAGUAAGCACCGGCUAACUACGUGCCAGCAGCCGCGGUAAUUC
rnacentral:rRNA from 1 species